rnacentral:tRNA from 1 species
ACUGCGAUAGCUCGGUUGGUAAAGCAUUUGCCCAGUAAGCGGACGAUGGCCGGUUCGUUUCCGGCUCGCGGAG